rnacentral:rRNA from 1 species
UACGGAGGGUGCAAGCGUUAUCCGGAUUUACUGGGUUUAAAGGGCGCGUAGGCGGGUUAGCAAGUCUGUGGUGAAAUCCUCCGGCUCAACCGGAGAACUGCCUCGGAUACUGCGGGUCUCGAGGGUGAUAGGGGUAUGCGGAACUAUCGGUGGAGCGGUGAAAUGCGUUGAUAUCGAUAGGAACUCCGGUGGCGAAGGCGGCAUACUGGAUCACUUCUGACGCUGAGGCGCGAAAGCCAGGGGAGCAAACGGG